CCGUGCGUUGCAACGGGGACAUAUAAUAUCACGGUAACUUAUGUAUUAUAUAUGUCUCCGUUGCAACGCACGGGCACUCCCCUUGUAAUUAUAAUAUAUAUGACUCGUUCUCAAGCAACAAAAAAUAUAUAUAUACUCAGGGCUGUUAUGAAUUGGAUCCAGGCUCAACUCCACAGGAGCUUCUUCAUGUAGUUUCACCAUCAGGCGAUGCUAAUUCUUGUUCAUAUAUGGCCGUGGCGGUUGGCGUGCCGCCCUCUUCAUCAUCGGGACAGUGUAAAUAUAAGAAGGACGAUACAUCAGCACCUAAAGGAGGUCCAUUGCUCUCAAGUUAUACCCCACUUGGAAUCUUGUUAAUACAUUAGUUUACAGAGAAGAAAUGGUUCGAUCAAUGUGUGCUUACAGUUAAAUGCAGUUUAGUCAAUUACUUUCCCUUUCCAUUUUAAGGAUGUAGUAUUGCUGUGAGGGGUUGUUUUGUCCCUCUGACUAAAAUUUAGCAUGUGUCACAUCACAUAAGCGCAUAGACUAAAUGCAAUGCGUUCCAGCGAGGAUCAUGUUUAUACUAUUACAUUUCCGAAAGGCACCAUAUGUUUGAAAUAAACUUCUGUUUCUGAUAGUCCAGCUUCAAUUACUUUCACUGCGGCCAAAUAAAACUUUAGUCUUAUCUGCUCAUGUAGUUUUGUAGCAAAGACGUAAAUUUUGAUUAGCUGGUGUAGAUAUUUUUGUGAACCAUCAUUGAUUUAGCAUCAUCAGUCACGUCGUGUAGGUCAUAGUUUGAUCAGUACGUAGAUUAGGACGUGCAUUGGAGAGGCAAACUGCAUCUGUCACAAAGAUGCAGGUUCUUUACCUUUACGACUUUACAAUUCAUUAUGUUCUAUAGCAUGUGUCACAUCACAUAAGCGCAUAGACUAAAUGCAAUGCGUUCCAGCGAGGAUCAUGUUUAUACUAUUACAUUUCCGAAAGGCACCAUAUGUUUGAAAUAAACUUCUGUUACUGAUAGUACAGCUUCAAUUACUUUCACUGAUCAGGUUCGAUGAAUGUAUAUUGUUAAUACACCUGCUACAUCUAUGCUUAUCAAUUGUCACAAGGCACAUGUAUUUUAUUUAGUAUCUGUUGUUCUUGAAUUUGGCAAGAGACAGACAUAGAGAAUCUAGGUGAGAAGAGUAUCUCUGUUGUAGGAGUUUCUGUGAAAAUUUAUUUAGUCCUUGCAGCAUUUUCAUAUCUUCAUCUUAGAUCUUAAGAGCAGUUCUCUGAACAAACUGUUGCUUCAUCUUAGAUCCUUGCAGCAUUUUAAGGAUAUAUAACUAAAUUUCUUUGGUCCUUGGUUAUUAAGCAUCAUGUUACUGAAAUUUCUUUGGUCCUUGGUUAUUAAGCAUUUUAAGGAUGUAACUAAAUUUCUCUGUUGUAGGAGUUUCUGAUUUCCUUCAUAUAUUUCCUUGGUUAUAACUAAAUUUCUUUGGUCCUUGCAGCAUUUUCAUCUCCUCAUCUUAGAUCCGAGUAUGUUAUAUGUAGCCUUAUUGAGAAUCUGAAAUUUAUUCUGUUGAGAUUCAGUCCACAAGAACUUGGUUAUAACUAAGUACUGGAUACACCGUUUAUGUUCUGUUAUCUUGAGACAAUAUCCUUGGCUUUGAGCUUCGUAAAUGAUGAUCUUACUCGGAUUGCCCCUUCAGGACAUCUAAAUGGAUGAUGCAACGCUCAGGCUUCGCAUAGAAUUUAACUUCUCUCUUGAUGCACAGUUAAAUGCAGUUUAGUCAAUUACUUUCCCUUUCCAUUUUAAGGAUAUAGAAUUGCUGUGAGGGGUUGUUUUGUCCCCCUGACUAAAAUUUAGCAUGUGUCACAUCACAUAAGCGCAUAGACUAAAUGCAAUGCGUUCCAGCGAGGAUCAUGUUUAUACUGUUACAUUUCCGAAAGACACCAUAUGUUUGAAAUAAACUUCUGUUACUGAUAGUACAGCUUCAAUUACUUUCACUGCGGCCAAAUAAAACUUUAGUCUUAUCUGCUCAUGUAGUUUUGUUGUUAAAACUGUAGCAUAAAUAGUGCGCCUGGGAAUGGUGUCGUGCCCACUUCUUGGUGGCCUCCUUGGUAAGAUUUGUGACAAGCAAAGGAUACCAUAUGAGUAUGGGAAAGGACGAUUGGAGGAGCGCUUUCAGCUGUUGGAGGAGAUCAGAAAGGUGUAGCCAACUCAAGUUUGUAAUGCUGCCGGAGUAACUGGGAGACCAAAUGAUGAUUUUUGUGAGACCCAUAAACUGGACACGUAUUGGUCCUUAUCUUAAAAUUAGCAUCAACCGAUAUGUACCGGAAGAAUGCAUAUAAACUUUAUUAUACCCCAAUAAAAGACCCCAAUACACACAAGCAAUGAAACUGAGCGAUAAAUUCAGUAACAUAUCAAGCAACUAAAUUAUGCUAGUGAGAACUAAUAAUUGAAAUGUUAUAACUGAAUAGAAAAAAGAAUCACAUGCAAAAUGUAAACUCACGAGACUACUGUGAUGCUCCUUCUCUCCACUGCUUGGUCACCGGUGUGUUGUCAGUUUCC